CAGACAUGUCCAGACAUGCCUUGUAUUCUAGUGGAUGGAUCACCACUCCUACCCCCUCCUCCUCUUACAGACUGUGCAUUUACCCUGUUUAGAAAAGUUUAAGUCUUAGCCAGUCAGGAUCAGUUUAGAUUGUGCAGUCCAACCCUAGACACAGGGACAGGAACUGCAUUAGGGAUAAAAACCACUUCUCUCCUUUGUUCAGUGUGCUCUUGCAAUCGUAACUGAUGCAGGCAGCACCCUUCUGCAGAAGCAAAUUGCCUUGCUGAGAAAAAUUUUGCGGAAGGGUCUCAGAUCACCUCUUGUGGGGAGAUACAUCCAGCUGCCUCAUUGUGGUGGUCUCAGGGGUAAGGAAUCGAGACCCAACCAGCGUGACAAAUAAACAUGGAUCCUCAGCAACAUGGGAAGAAAAGGCCUACAGAUACCGGGGUGACCAGGUAACUCUAUGCACAGACCAAGAACAAGAAAUUUGGACACACAAAGAAAAGACACCAAGUGCACGAGUACCCAGAAGGACAACCAUGUGAAGAGGCAGUGAGAAGGUGCCACCUGCAAGCCCAGGAGAGAAGUUGCCACCUGCAAGCCCAGGAGAGAAGUUUUGGAAGAAACCACACCUGCUGACACCUUGGUCUCCAACUUCCAGUCCCAGAGUGAGAAGAAAAUAAAUUUCUGUUAUUUUUACCACCCAGUCUGUGAUCAUUUGUUACGGCACGUCUAGCAAACUAAUGUAGUCUUCCAGUAGGCUUUA
rnacentral:lncRNA from 1 species